ACUUAGAUAGUUUAUUAAGAAUGAUAACUUGUGGCGUUAUUGGUGCAAUAUUGGCUCUAGGUU
rnacentral:tRNA from 1 species